rnacentral:rRNA from 1 species
GACAGAAAGACCCUAUGAAGCUUUACUGUAGCUUGGAAUUGACUUUGGGUUUAUUUUGCGCAGUAUAUGUGGGAGGCUAAGAAAGUAUAUUUCCGGAUGUACUCGAGCCAUCAAUGAGAUACCACUCUGAAUAAACUAAAAUUCUAACUUUGACAGUCGUUAACCGGCCAAAGAACAUUUCCAGGUGGGCAGUUUGACUGGGGCGGUCGCCUCCUAAAAAGUAACGGAGGCGUGCAAAGGUUUCCUCAGACUGGUCGGAAAUCAGUCUUCGAGUAUAAAGGCAUAAGGAAGCUUGACUGCAAGACCUACAAGUCGAGCAGAGACUAAAGUCGGCCUUAGUGAUCCGACAGUACUGAGUGGAAAGACUGUCGCUCAACGGAUAAAAGUUACUCUAGGGAUAACAGGCUGA